AAGUCGUAACAAGGUUUCCGUAGGUGAACCUGCGGAAGGAUCAUUAUCACGUAUCCACGUAUAAACCAUUGUGAACCGUUCUAUCACCUUUGGUUGGUUAGUGAAAUGAAGCCGGUGCGUGUUUUGGCUCUCCGGAGUCGGGCGCGUGUCCGGUGGAGUUUCAAUUUCCGCCCAGAGUGUAUUAACCUUAUAUUAACCAUUAUAACCCAAUCUUUAUAACUUUUAUGAACUAAUUUUUAUUUUAUACUCUUCGGAGAUAAAAUUCAUUACGAAACAAAGAACAACUCUUAGCAACGGAUAUCUUGGUUCUC
rnacentral:misc_RNA from 1 species